UCUCUCUGAAUCUGCGAACGGCUCCGCACACCAGUUGUAAGCUAUAGCGUGUCCCGCCUGGUCACCCCCGGGUGGCUGGGCAACUAUAUGGAUAACCGUGGUAAUUCUAAGGCUAAUACAUGACAACGAACCUUGUCUGUCGGCUGCCUUUCCCUCCGGGGUCGGGCGUGUUCGGCAGCGAGGGACGUACGAGUAAAACGAAGGGUAUCAGGAAAGAGCGUACGUUCGGACCACCGCUUAGGGCUUGGCUUAUGCCUCGGGGGCAACCCUGGGGUGCUGUCUCGCCUGGUGGCUCACGCGUUGCGCUUCUGACCUAUCAACUGGACGGCAGCGUAAGGGACAUGCCAUGGUAACAACGGGUACAGAGGAUAAGGGUUCGAUCCUGGAGAGUGGGCCUGAGAGAUU
rnacentral:rRNA from 1 species